rnacentral:rRNA from 1 species
CCUACGGGAGGCUGCAGUGAGGAAUAUUGGUCAAUGGACGAAAGUCUGAACCAGCCAAGUCGCGUGAAGGAUGACUGCCCUAUGGGUUGUAAACUUCUUUUAUAUGGGAAAAAAACAGGGUAGGCAGGCCCUCUUGUAGGUACCCUAUAAAUAGGGAUCGGCUAACUCCGGUCCAGCAGCCGCGGUAAUCCGGAGGAGCCAAGCGUUAUCCGGAUUUAUUGGGUUUAAAGGGAGCGUAGGUGGUUGGUUAAGUCAGGUGGGAAAGUUUGCGGCUAACCCGUAAAAUUGCAGUUGAAACUGGCAGGCUGGAGUACAGUAGAGGUGGGCGGAAUUUGUGGUGUAGCGGUGAAAUGCUUAGAUAUCACGAAGAACUCCGAUUGCGAAGGCAGCUCACUGGACUGCAACUGACACUGAUGCUCGAAAGUGUGGGUAUCAAACAGGAUUAGAUACCCUAGUAGUC